GACGUAGGGCGCGAGCGUUGUCCGGAUUUAUUGGGCGUAAAGAGCUCGUAGGCGGUCAGUCGCGUCUGCUGUGAAAACUCGGGGCUUAACUCCGGGCCUGCAGUGGGUACGGGCUGACUAGAGUGCGGUAGGGGAGACUGGAAUUCCUGGUGUAGCGGUGAAAUGCGCAGAUAUCAGGAGGAACACCGGUGGCGAAGGCGGUUCUCUGGGCAUUACCUGACGCUGAGGAGCGAAAGUGUGGGGAGCGAACAGG
rnacentral:rRNA from 1 species